UCCGUAGGUGAACCUGCGGAAGGAUCAUUAUCGUAUCACAUGGCGCACAAAGGCUGUCGCUCNCGCAAGCCGUGCACGCCUGAGUGUUUCCAAAUCCAUCUCACCCUUGUGCACCAUUGCGUGAGCUGUGCCCGUUCCCCUCGGGGCGACGCGGUGUGGCUUGCGUUUUUAUACACAAACCCUGUCACAAUGUCUAGAAUGUCUCUUGCAGUAAACAUGCAAUCUAUACAACUUUCAACAACGGAUCUCUUGGCUCUCGCAUCGAUGAAGAACGCAGCGAAAUGCGAUACGUAAUGUGAAUUGCAGAAUUCAGUGAAUCAUCGAAUCUUUGAACGCACCUUGCGCCUCUUGGUAUUCCGAGAGGCACGCCCGUUUGAGUGUCAUGAAAUUCUCAACCCCUCUUGGUUUUCUUUUGAAUAUCAAGAUGGGCUUGGACUUUGGAGGCUCUUGCUGGAGGCUUAAUUGCGAUCAGCUCCUCUUAAAUGCAUUAGCAGGGUCUUCUUUGCCGACCUUUGGCGUGAUUAAGUAUCUACGUCCCAUGGUGUGGCUCUGAUAUCGAGGCCUGCUUCGAACCGUCUCUUGACNGAGACAACCUUUGAGUUUCCCCCCCUCUUCUUUAGAGAGAGGGCCUCAUUCUGAAACCUUGACCUCAAAUCGGGCGGGACUACCCGCUGAACUUAAGCAUAUCAAUAAGCGGAGGA
rnacentral:rRNA from 1 species